CACGUGGGUAACCUGCCUGUAAGACUGGGAUAACUCCGGGAAACCGGGGCUAAUACCGGAUGGUUGUUUGAACCGCAUGGUUCAAACAUAAAAGGUGGCUUCGGCUACCACUUACAGAUGGACCCGCGGCGCAUUAGCUAGUUGGUGAGGUAAUGGCUCACCAAGGCAACGAUGCGUAGCCGACCUGAGAGGGUGAUCGGCCACACUGGGACUGAGACACGGCCCAGACUCCUACGGGAGGCAGCAGUAGGGAAUCUUCCGCAAUGGACGAAAGUCUGACGGAGCAACGCCGCGUGAGUGAUGAAGGUUUUCGGAUCGUAAAGCUCUGUUGUUAGGGAAGAACAAGUACCGUUCGAAUAGGGCGGUACCUUGACGGUACCUAACCAGAAAGCCACGGCUAACUACGUGCCAGCAGCCGCGGUAAUACGUAGGUGGCAAGCGUUGUCCGGAAUUAUUGGGCGUAAAGGGCUCGCAGGCGGUUUCUUAAGUCUGAUGUGAAAGCCCCCGGCUCAACCGGGGAGGGUCAUUGGAAACUGGGGAACUUGAGUGCAGAAGAGGAGAGUGGAAUUCCACGUGUAGCGGUGAAAUGCGUAGAGAUGUGGAGGAACACCAGUGGCGAAGGCGACUCUCUGGUCUGUAACUGACGCUGAGGAGCGAAAGCGUGGGGAGCGAACAGGAUUAGAUACCCUGGUAGUCCACGCCGUAAACGAUGAGUGCUAAGUGUUAGGGGGUUUCCGCCCCUUAGUGCUGCAGCUAACGCAUUAAGCACUCCGCCUGGGGAGUACGGUCGCAAGACUGAAACUCAAAGGAAUUGAC
rnacentral:rRNA from 1 species